rnacentral:rRNA from 1 species
AUGGCGUCACCCUCCUUUAACAAUGAACACAAGGAUGCUUGGCUAUUGAAGAUAGAGCUGAAAAGAGAAGAACCGGAAGAGAUCAAUAAGGAUGAAGGGAUCAAGAAGGCCAUGGAGGUUCAAGCCCCAGCAGUGAAAGAACAAGACAUCCCUCAACUCUUACCUAACCUUUUUACAACAACUGAGAUUGAAUCUUUCAAGAUGAUUGAGUUAGCUCGCAUACAAAACAAGUAUCUCACACAGGAGAAUAUUUUGUUGAAGGAUCAUAUCGCCGGACUCAAGGGCAUUAUCCACAAGUUGGAGGAGCUUUUACGCUCGAUGUGCGAUUAUCCACCGUCAUCAUCACCACCUCCAUCACCUCCAAGGAAAUAA